rnacentral:lncRNA from 1 species
UAACGCAGGAGGAGCCUGAAUCCCCACCAACUUCUCCGGGGAGAAGAUCUUGGCAGAACCUAGAAGACAAAGGAGACAUUUCAGUUCCUAAGUGCCUGUGUACACAAGGAAACUUGAAGAAAUGAACAUGUGUAUGAACCCCGUGACUUUAUGCAAACACUUUCCUCCUCUCUGAGAUCUCGUUGUCUUGUCGGGAAGAGAGUCCGGAGGACUGCUGCUUGCUGACGACCCACCACAAGCUCAGCACUUUAUAGAUAUCCUUUCUUCCACUCUUUAUAUGAUUUUACAACUAAGGCAUGCAGAUACUGUUACCCUACCUUUUUUCAGGUUAAGAAAAUCCAGUCACAAAGAUAAACAAAACAAAACAGAACAACAACAAAAGAGAGUCUGUGCCUGUUGUAGUUGAAGAACAUAAUUGUUAUACACACCCAAAGUCAUAACAAUGUUAUUCACAAUAGGAAAAAGGUGGGAACAGCUACGUGUCCAUUAAGAGGGGAGUGGUUAAACAGGCUAUGCCGUAUAUAAUUGGAUUAUUUUAGCUUUAAAAGGAGGGACAUUCCAACACUCAUGGACCUUAG